CCUACGGGUGGCAGCAGUGAGGAAUAUUGGUCAAUGGACGAGAGUCUGAACCAGCCAAGUAGCGUGAAGGAUGACUGCCCUAUGGGUUGUAAACUUCUUUUAUAUGGGAAUAAAAUGUUCCCCGUGUGGGCUUUUGUAUGUACCCUAUGAAUAAGGAUCGGCUAACUCCGUGCCAGCAGCCGCGGUACUACGGAGGAUCCGAGCGUUAUCCGGCUUUAUUGGGUUUAAAGGGAGCGUAGGUGGAUUGUUAAGUCAGUUGUGAAAGUUUGCGGCUCAAACGUAAAAUUGCAGUUGAAACUGGCAGUCUUGAGUACAGUAGAGGUGGGCGGAAUUCGUGGUGGAGCGGUGAAAUGCUUAGAUAUCACGAAGAACUCCGAUUGCGAAGGCAGCUCACUGGACUGCAACUGACACUGAGGCUCGAAAGUGUGGGUAUCAAACAGGAUUAGAUACCCCAGUAGUC
rnacentral:rRNA from 1 species